UACGUAGGGUGCAAGCGUUGUCCGGAAUUAUUGGGCGUAAAGAGCUCGUAGGCGGCUCGGUAAGUCAGGUGUCAAAUCCUCAGGCUCAACCUGGGGCUCCACCUGAUACUGCUGUGGCUAGAGUCCGGUAGGGGAGCGUGGAAUUCCUGGUGUAGCGGUGAAAUGCGCAGAUAUCAGGAGGAACACCAGCGGCGAAGGCGGCGCUCUGGGCCGGAACUGACGCUGAGGAGCGAAAGCGUGGGUAGCAAACAGG
rnacentral:rRNA from 1 species